CCUACGGGGGGCUGCAGUGGGGGAUAUUGCACAAUGGGGGGAACCCUGAUGCAGCGACGCCGCGUGGGUGAAGAAGCGCCUCGGCGCGUAAAGCCCUGUCAGCAGGGAAGAAAAUGACGGUACCUGAAGAAGAAGCCCCGGCUAACUACGUGCCAGCAGCCGCGGUAAUACGUAGGGGGCAAGCGUUAUCCGGAUUUACUGGGUGGAAAGGGGGCGCAGACGGCGAUGCAAGCCAGGAGUGAAAGCCCGGGGCCCAACCCCGGGACUGCUCUUGGAACUGCGUGGCUGGAGUGCAGGAGGGGCAGGCGGAACUCCUGGUGUAGCGGUGAAAUGCGUAGAUAUCAGGAGGAACACCGGUGGCGAAGGCGGCCUGCUGGACUGCAACUGACGUUGAGGCCCGAAAGCGUGGGGAGCAAACAGGAUUAGAUACCCCUGUAGUC
rnacentral:rRNA from 1 species